UACGUAGGUGGCGAGCGUUGUCCGGAUUUACUGGGCGUAAAGGGAGCGUAGGCGGAUUUUUAAGUGAGAUGUGAAAUACUCGGGCUCAACUUGAGUGCUGCAUUUCAAACUGGAAGUCUAGAGUGCAGGAGAGGAGAAUGGAAUUCCUAGUGUAGCGGUGAAAUGCGUAGAGAUUAGGAAGAACACCAGUGGCGAAGGCGAUUCUCUGGACUGUAACUGACGCUGAGGCUCGAAAGCGUGGGGAGCAAAUAGG
rnacentral:rRNA from 1 species